rnacentral:rRNA from 1 species
GACGAACGCUGGCGGCAGGCCUCACACAUGCAAGUCGAGCGGAGCGGCGGACGGGGGAGUAAUGCCAAGGAAUCUGCCUGGUAGUGGGGGAAAAAGUCAGGAAACGGGCGCUAAUACCGCCUACUAUAAGAUGAGCCUAGGGCGGAUUAGCUCGUUGGUGGGGUAAAGGCCUACAAAGGCGACGAUCCGUAACUGUGCUGAGAGGAUGAUCAGUCACACUGGAACUGAGACACGGUCCAGAUCCCGCCGGGAGGCAGCAUGGGGGAAUAUUGGACAAUGGGCGAAAGCCUGAUCCAGCCAUGCCGCGUGUGUGAAGAAGGUCUUCGGAUUGUAAAGCACUUUAAGUUGGGAGGCGUUACCAAAAGAAUAAGCACCGGCUAACUUCGUGCCAGCCGCCGCGGUAAUAC